rnacentral:rRNA from 1 species
GACGAACGCUGGCGGCGUGCCUAAUACAUGCAAGUCGAGCGAACAGAAGCAGCAGAAUUACUUCGGUAAGGACGCUGUGGAAGUUAGCGGCGGAUGGGUGAGUAACACGUGGGUAACCUACCCUUAAGACUGGGAUACCACUUGGAAACAGGUGCUAAUACCGGAUAGGAGUAUGAGCUGCAUGGCUUAUACUUUAAAGGCGGCGAAAGCUGUCACUAAAGGAUGGACCCGCGGUGCGUUAGCUAGUUGGUAAGGUAACGGCUUACCAAGGCGACGAUGCAUAGCCGAGUUGAGAGACUGAUCGGCCACAUUGGGACUGAGACACGGCCCAAACUCCUACGGGAGGCAGCAGUAGGGAAUCUUCCACAAUGGACGCAAGUCUGAUGGAGCAACGCCGCGUGAGUGAAGAAGGUUUUCGGAUCGUAAAGCUCUGUUGUUGGUGAAGAAGGAUAUAGGUAGUAACUGGCCUAUAUUUGACGGUAAUCAACCAGAAAGUCACGGCUAACUACGUGCCAGCAGCCGCGGUAAUACGUAGGUGGCAAGCGUUGUCCGGAUUUAUUGGGCGUAAAGCGAGCGCAGGCGGAGAAAUAAGUCUGAUGUGAAAGCCCACGGCUCAACCGUGGAACUGCAUCGGAAACUGUUUUUCUUGAGUGCAGAAGAGGAGAGUGGAACUCCAUGUGUAGCGGUGGAAUGCAUAGAUAUAUGGAAGAACACCAGUGGCGAAGGCGGCUCUCUGGUCUGCAACUGACGCUGAGGCUCGAAAGCAUGGGUAGCGAACAGG